CAUGACCUUUUUUUUUGGCACAAAGUGGCCUCUCUCAGACUCAAACCUGAGUCAUCAUGCUUGUCAGCCCAAGAUUUACAGACCUUCAACUUUUGGCGUUGUUGAGCUCUUUGUACAUCAAUCAAUUCAUGGUCAUACUAUGUGUUUUUGAUAUACUCGGAGAUGUACAAGGUUCAAAAAAAAUUGUAGGUGUAAAAGGUAGAUUUAUUGCUCUUGUUGUUUUUUAUUAUGAGAAUUUUGAUAUCUUGCAAAUGUCUCCUGUCUUUUCCUCAAUGUAUUAUAUAUUUUGAUCUCUUCUCUGUUUCGGUUAGAAUCUAAUUGUCGAUCAUUUUAGUAAUACAAUCUGAUAUCUUUUGCAGGAUUCAAUGUGGAGACAGUGGAAUACAAGAACAUUAGCUUCACCGUAUGGGAUGUUGGUGGCCAGGACAAGAUUCGUCCUCUGUGGAGACACUACUUCCAAAACACUCAGGGUCUUAUUUUUGUGGUGGAUAGUAAUGAYAGAGAUCGAGUUGUUGAGGCAAGGGAUGAGU